UCCUGGCUCAGGAUGAACGCUGGCGGUCUGCUUAACACAUGCAAGUCGAACGGAGUACUUCGGUACUUAGUGGCGGACGGGUGAGUAACGCGUGAGAAUCUGCCCUUAGGAGGGGGACAACAGUUGGAAACGACUGCUAAUACCCCAUAUGCCGAGAGGUGAAACAUUAAUGGCCUGAGGAGGAGCUCGCGUCUGAUUAGCUAGUUGGUGGGGUAACGGCCUACCAAGGCGACGAUCAGUAGCUGGUCUGAGAGGAUGAUCAGCCACACUGGGACUGAGACACGGCCCAGACUCCUACGGGAGGCAGCAGUGGGGAAUUUUCCGCAAUGGGCGAAAGCCUGACGGAGCAAGACCGCGUGAGGGAGGAAGGUCUGUGGAUUGUAAACCUCUUUUCUCAGGGAAGAAGAACUGACGGUACCUGAGGAAUCAGCAUCGGCUAACUCCGUGCCAGCAGCCGCGGUAAUACGGAGGAUGCAAGCGUUAUCCGGAAUUAUUGGGCGUAAAGCGUCCGUAGGUGGCUAAGCAAGUCUGCUGUUAAAGAGCGGAGCUAAACUCCGUAAAGGCGGUGGAAACUGCAUAGCUAGAGUGUGGUAGGGGUAGAGGGAAUUCCCAGUGUAGCGGUGAAAUGCGUAGAUAUUGGGAAGAACACCGGUGGCGAAGGCGCUCUACUGGGCCACAACUGACACUGAUGGACGAAAGCUAGGGGAGCGAAAGGGAUUAGAUACCCCUGUAGUCCAGCCUAACAUAACAC
rnacentral:rRNA from 1 species